UUUAAAUAAGAUUGAAGUGCUUUACAGCUCGCCUUAGCUAUAAGGGAGAUGUAGAAAAAAAUGGAAAAUAUAAUAAUAAGUGGUUAUUUUAUCUCUUUGUGCGUAGGACGCUUUGAAUUGUACAGAAUUUUUUUUGCACUUAAAAAUUUUUAUUAUGAACAUUGAACAUUGUCAACUAUACACUAGGAUAGAGAUACUAGAAAAAUAAAUCCAAUGUACAGAUUAAGUACAUUCAGUAAAUAUGAAGCUUUAGUCAUUUUCUCUUUACAUAUCUUUUUAGAAGUUUUAUUUUCUUUUGUUGGUGCAUUUUAAAUAAAAACUUAAUGUCUUUUUCACUCCUAUGUGCUUUUGGUAUGCAUUUCUUUGUGUGUGUGUGCGCAUAUGUUUGUUAUAGGAGCACUCAGCAUAAGAUCUACCCUCUUAGCAAAUUUUUAACUAUACAAUUUUGUAUUGUUAACUAUAGGCACUAUGCUGUACAGUGUAACUCUAGAACUUAUUCAUCUUGCAU
rnacentral:lncRNA from 1 species